CUGGUAGACUUAGAGUUGUGGAUAAAAGGCAUUUUGCACAGUCUGUUGCUCUCCAUAAUUCAUUUUCUGCACUUUCAGAGUGUAAUGGUGUUGUGGAGAGAGGCACCGAGGCUAGUGGUGUUGUGGAGAGAGGCACUGAGGCUAGUGGUGUUGUGGAGAGAGGCACUGAGGCUAGUGGUGUUGUGGAGAGAGGCAAUAAGACUAGUGGUGUUGUAGAGAGAGG